GACGAACGCUGGCGGCGUGCCUAAUACAUGCAAGUAGAACGCACAGUUUAUACCGUAGCUUGCUACACCAUAAACUGUGAGUUGCGAACGGGUGAGUAACGCGUAGGUAACCUGCCUGGUAGCGGGGGAUAACUAUUGGAAACGAUAGCUAAUACCGCAUAAUAUUAAUUAUUGCAUGAUAAUUGAUUGAAAGAUGCAAUUGCAUCACUACCAGAUGGACCUGCGUUGUAUUAGCUAGUAGGUGAGGUAACGGCUCACCUAGGCGACGAUACAUAGCCGACCUGAGGGGGUGAUCGGCCACCCUGGGACUGAGACACGGCCCAGACUCCUACGGGAGGCAGCAGUAGGGAAUCUUCGGCAAUGGACGAAAGUCUGACCGAGCAACGCCGCGUGAGUGAAGAAGGUUUUCGGAUCGUAAAGCUCUGUUGUAAGAGAAGAACGGGUGUGAGAGUGGAAAGUUCACACUGUGACGGUAUCUUACCAGAAAGGGACGGCUAACUACGUG
rnacentral:rRNA from 1 species